rnacentral:rRNA from 1 species
ACAUGCCUACAAAAUAGCAUUAAUUCACUGGAUCCCAUUAAAACUCCGUAGUUAAGAAUGCUCAGGAUAGAGUAGUACUAGGAUGGGUGACCACACGAGAAGUCCUAGUGUUUUACGUGCC